rnacentral:misc_RNA from 1 species
UUUCCUUCACCUUAAGCUCAUCAAAUGCCUCUUCUAACACUUCUUCAUCCCUUAUACUUGAUCGUUGUUCUUUGGCUUGCAAUUUACUAAUUAGGUUUGCAAUAGACAAGGUUUUGAGAUCACUAGAUUCUUCAAUUGCUGAAAUCUUGGCCUCAAAUCUUGCAGGUAAACUAAUCAGCAUUUACUCUACUACUUUUUCAUCUUCAAAG